GCUUGUUUUUGCAGCACUGGGGGUUGGACCCGACCCUUGAGUGUGCUAGGCAAGAAUUCCACCACCGAACCACGUCUCACACUCCCCUGCGCCUUUUACAAUUCUUAUUUUGAAACAGGGUCUCGCUCAGUUGCCCAGGCUGGCUUGAACUUGGGCCCUCCUUCCUCAGCCCACUGAGCAGCUAGGGUGUGUGCCACUGUGCCAGUUCCAGGACAGGUUUUUUUAAUGGCCUGAUGCCUGGCGAAGCCUGAGUAGCAGUCCCCAAGUGGGGAUGCCUGUGGGGCACCAGUGGAGGUUGGGGCUGAAGUUCAGCUCUUCAUCAUACGGGUAGGAGCCUGAGAGGUCCCGGCUGCUCACCAGGCCACGGAGCUCUCACACUGAGGACGGCCCUGGACUGGCACACCCAGCUGACCCCUCAGCCAGCACACUCUGGAGGGGCCCUGGCUACUGUGGAGUGAGCGGACAUGUCCCUGAGCAGGGCUCCUGCAGUGCUGCUGAGUGCCUCAUCUGGGGUGAGCUCAUCUCCCGAGCCCUCUGGGGCCACUGUGGCCAGCACUCCUUCCAGCACCUCUGCCUGUGGCUGCCCGCUCUGUCCUCCGGGUCCCAACCCCUCCCUCCCUAUGCACUCAGUCUCCAGCCUGGUGUCCAGGAAGCCACAGCUGCAAGCCUGGGGCCUGUUACACAAAGACUCCACCCCGCACGGGUGAGACAUGUCCCCUGCAAGACGUAUUGAAGUGCCAGCCCCACACCUGCGACUUGGCCUUACUUGGAAACAGAAUGUUUGCAGUGUGAGUGGGCCAGGACAGCCUGGCUGCCCGUGGUGAUGCUGGCCACUGACCUGGGCCACGCAGGUCGUGUUAGAACCCCUGCCCUGUCAGUGACACAGUGACAGGGGAGAGCAGUUUGCACACAGAGGAGAGACGGGCUGUGGACGAUGAGGCAGAGGUGGAGCCCUGUGUCUGCAGCUGAGGGCCACAAGGACCACCAGCACCCAGAAGCUGGAGAGAGCCUGGACCCCAGCAGCCCACCCUGCACAUGCCCUGGUCUCCAGAGCUGGUCAUUGGUUACAGUGGCCCCAGGAAGGUCAUACCACCUCCUUCCUGCUCCAGGGACCCGCCUCAUGGGCUCUUGGGUAGUGGCAGUUGGCAGGAAGUGUGGGAGCUGAGCGCUCAGGAAGUGACCUCAGGAUAAGGGGGCAGGCUUCUCCUUUAGAAAGGGAGCCUCCAGGGUGGAAAGAAGUUUGGAACAACUCCACUACGUGGGCUAAGGCUGCAGCGUUGGUGUGAACUCGGUUUCCAGUACAGACAGCCUCAGAGUGGAUGCGGCGUUGAGUCCAGCUCCUGUCCAGAGACUCACAGCCGGCCCAGAGCCCAGUCCCGGCUCCUCUCACAGGAGCCUGGGCCCUUCCGGAAAGACCGAGCCCGGGGCUGGGGCAGCGCAUGCAUUCCGAGCCUGGCCCGGUUGGUUGUGCCAGAAGGAGGUCAGGAAGUGCCCGAGAACAACAGAGACGACAGGGUCCUUGGGAAGGGGGAAGACAGAGGGCUUCCCUCUGGCCAGACCUGGGACGGACGGGCUGAGCAGCACCGUGCCGUAAUGGACGGCCAUCUUUAUUUACGACAUAAAUGAUUCAUGAUGAAGAUAAAUGAUUGAAUACGUGAAUGGGGGGAAAGCUGACUCGUAAAUGUGGAAGGAAUAAUGGGAUCAGAAAACUUCCAUUUGGCAACCGGCAUAUUAAUAAUUGAUUCAGGGAGGAAUCAACAGCGGAUGCUCCGACUGCUGGUGAAAGGUCGGAGGAAACAGGCUAUUUACUUGGCCUCCAAGAGUCUGCUCUCAGAGCACUCACUAAUUAUUACUUAGUAAUUAGUAAGUUCAAAAUACUAAUUAAUGUAACUGCACCAUGGAGGAACCUGGCAGGUGUCACCUUGAGCCAAGUGGCAAAAGCAUUACCAACCGGGCUUGCUGGGCGCUGCUGACCUCAGUUUCCCCAUCUGCUCAACAGGCUUCCUCCUGAAUUCCAAACCACUGACCCCAACUGUCGAAUCAGUGUGGGACAAAGUCACAAACGAAGAUGUGACUUCUAGGUCAUAGGACGGGAGAGAAGCAUGGAAACAGACGAACACCACAGGAGAACUCGGGUCUGUGGCGCAGGGUGGUGUCCUACAACAGCAAGGCCUGACUCUGAUGGUCCUGCUGCCGAGUCUGGGGGAUCUGGUCCGUGCUGUAGGAGACCCACCGUCUCGGGGCACAAUGGGCGUCUUGUCAGCAGCGUGCUCUUAAGUGGGUCAGAAAACAGGGUGAUAAGGUGCGCUGCGGCGUGGCACGUGGGGUGCAGAGGCUCCUUUCACCACUGCAGCAAACUUUCCAUACAAAAGCUAAAAACAAAACCUGCAUCGGAACAUGAAAAGGUGAGCCACAGACCAGGAGAAGGUACCCGGAAACCACACUCCAGACCAGGGGAAACUCUUAAAGCUCCAGGACAGGCUGGGCCGUGGCUCAGCGGUGGAGCGCUUGCCUAACACGUGUGAAGCCCUGGGUUCCAUCCUCAGCACCGCAGAAAGAUAGAUGAAUAAAAUACAGGUAUUGUGUCCAUCUACGACUACCAAAAAAAAACCCCUCCAUGGUAAAAACGCAAGCAAUUCGGUUAGAAAAUGAGCAAAGACACGAGCAAACAUUUCAUUAGAGAGGUGAUACAGAUGGCAAAUAAGCACUUGAAAGGAUGUUCAGCAUCAUCAGUUGUCAGAAAAGUGAAAAUGGGAACCACAGCACCAUGUCAGCACACACCCAUCAAAACAGCUAAAAUAAAAAUAGUCGCAAAACCCAUUGCUUUGGAGGAUGUGGAGAAACGGAACCAUUCAUGCACUUCUGGUAGGUAGGUAACCUGAUCCCAUCUCUCCAGAAAAGGGUUUAGCAGCUUCCUAAAAAAAAUCAGCACAACCACCAAACAACCUCACAAUCACAUUCUUGGGAAUUUAUCCCAGAGAAGUGAAGUUCACACAAAAUCCCAAACAAGAAUGUCCAUGGUGGCUUCACAACAGCUGGACCUGGGGAACAACCCAGACGGCUUUCUGUGGGUGGACGGUGGAGGAACCUCCCCAGCUCAAGGCUGCUCAGCCAGGGGAAGGAGCCAGUGUGGCCCAGGGGAAGGAAGCUGGGUGUGGUGGCACAGGCCUGUCAUCCCAGCAACUCGGGAGGCUGAGGCAGGAGGAUCACAAGUUAGAGGCCAGCCUCGGCCACUAGGUGAGGGCCUCAGCAACUUAGAGAGAUCUUGUCUCAAUAGAAGUAAAUAAAUAAAAAUGACUGGGGAUGUAACAAUGAAGCAAUAAAGCACCCCUGGGAUCCCUGGGAUCAAUCUUUAGUUAAAAAAAAGGAAGGGGAGGAGGAAGGGGAAACUGACAGACUCUAGAUGAAUCUCAAGACACCAAGACGAAAAGCCAGACCCCAAAGGUCACAUACUGUACGAGGUCGUUUGUAUAACAUCCUUGAAAUGACAGUCAUAGAUACGGAGAAAAGAGUAAGGGUCACCGGGGGCUGGGGAGGGGUGGGGGAGUGAACGUGACAAUAGAGGGGGAACAGAGGGGUCCUUGUGGUGGCGGGGACCUCCUGUCCCAGCUGUGCCCACAUCGGCGACUGCUGGGAUGAUGACCUUGAGAGAUUUCAGGAUUGCCUUUGGGGGAAGCCGGGUGAAGGGGAUGUGGAGUCUCCACCUCACUUCUGACGACUGCAUGUGAAUGUAUGAUCAUUUCAAAAUAAAAAGCUUAACAGAGCCCGGUGCGGUGGUGCACACCUGUGAUCCCAGUGGCUAGGGAGGCUGAGACAGGAGGAUCCUGAGUUCAAAGUCAGCCUCAGCAAUGGCAAAGCACUAAGCAACUCAGUGAGAUCCUGUCUCUAAAAAAAAUAAUAAUAAUAAUACAAAAUAGGGCUGGGGAAUGUGGCUCAGUGGUUGAGUGUCCCUGAGUUCAAUCUCUGGUACCAAAAUAAUAAUAAUACUUAAUUAAUUAAAAUAAAAAAGCUGAACAGAAAAGGAAUCAUGGCAAGCUUUUACCCAUAUACACCGUGUGUGUGAUUCUAUGUGAUUGCUAAAUCACAUUGUCUUUAUGGCAUGCAUCGGCCCACACUUUAAAAUUAUAAGUGAAUGUAAAAGGAUAAGAGUCUCUAAAUUGGAAAGUCCAGGGCCAGGACUGCGUUCAGCAAAUCCCCAGGUCGGUGGGCAGAUGGAGGCCCAGGAGAACUGCAGGCCUCUCCUCCAGCCCUGGCCUCUGCUGGGCACUGCCUCUGUGCCGUUUCUCCCUGGUCCCGGGGAAUGACCCUGACCCUGCACCCUGCCAUGGGGGAAUCUAGAAGCCAAAGCUGGGCAUGGCUCUUGUGCUGCCACAGGCCAGCAGGGGACUAGAUGAAGCUCAUGGGUCCAGGAAGCGGGGCCAGGGCCCCAGGCUCAGGGGAUGAGGACCCAUGGCCACCCUCCUCAUCUCCCUCAGACCCCAGGGCUGUCUUUCCUCCAGUGGGAGCCCUGUGCCCCACCCAGCCAGCCCAGGGUCCACCCGGCCCGGGAUGAGGCUCUGUGUAUUCGAAACAAAGCGGGUGAGCAGAGGCCCACAGCCACCUCACCCCAGGGCCCUCUAAGGGGUGGGAAAAAGGAAGGUUCUACUGAUGUUGCUCAAAGUCAGUCCCCCAGGAACCCCAUGUGACUCACUCAAGGAAAUACCCUCUGAGCCUCCUGGGCCCCCAGUGAAGUGGCCACUUGCCUGGCCAGGAAUCAGAGUUUAAAACGGGUUUUCCUGGAGGUAAUCCUGCACAGGGACAGAAAUCCCUCGCCCCUGGGAUUCUGGCCAAGGGAAAGGAAUUUGGAAAACAUUUCCCUCUAGCAGCAGUUUGAAAAUAAAACGUGUUCACAGAUUCUUUGGCCCUCUUCCCACGGGGUGGGUCUGUGUCCCCUCCCCUCGCAUCGGGGCUGGCUUUGGUGGCUGGGGUCCCAGCUAAAAGCUGAUAACAAGGGUCAGACACAUGGGUGGAGGAGCUUCCAGAGGACGCCAGCCCCAGGCCACGCGAGUCCUUGCCAGUGGCCGAGGCUUCCUGCAGAUGGGGCGAAGACAAGCCGUCCCUGCUGGGCCGGGUCCAGGCUCCUGACCACAGAACGUGUAAGCACAAUAAAGUGACGGCUGAGCCACCAGCUUGGUUACUCAGCACUAGUGGUGGGGCAAGGACUGCCUCCCAUGGUGCCACCUGCAGACACCCGAUCCCAGGAGUGACCCUGCUUCCUUCCUGCUGGACCCUCCCCCAAACCAACCCGGAUGCUUCCAUGCUAACUCCAGGAGUCCUGGCAGUCCCGUCGACCACUACAUGUCCAAGUGGGGGUGACCAAAGGACCAGGAAGGGGCCAACGGGGCUGUGUCUGCGAGUUCUCAGCCCAGUGAUAUGGCUGACCCCACGGCAGUCACCCAGAGAGACACGUGGAGAGGGCAGGGGGUGCAGGGCCUGUGGAGGCCCCUGGGAGGGACCCACUACCAAGAUCAAAGAGAGAGGGAGGGGGGCCUGCACGUGUCCCUGAAGGUGCAUGUGCUGGGACCUGGUCCCCAGCCGUGGAGGUGGGCCUCCAGGAAGCCACUCCAGAGGGAGGUCAGGCCAGGCCUCAGUGGCUCCACGAGAAGUCACCCCACAGGCAGCCUCCGACCGGCCAGGAAGCCCUCCAGAGGCCGUGUGGCUGUGCUUCUCCCCGUGAUCCUUACACCCAGGAUUUUUUUUUAAAUAUUUUUGCAGUUGUUGAUAGACCUUUAUUUUUCAAAUUUAUUCACAGGCGGUGCUGAGACUCGACCCAGCGCCUCACACAUGCCAGGCAAGUGCGCUACCGCUGAGCCCCAGCCCCAGCCCGUGCACCCAGUUUUUUGAAUCCAAAAUUUGGUUUAAAAUCUCUCCUCACAUCAUCCUCCAGGGGCAGCGUUGGUCCUCAGGCCCGGAAAGGCAAAGAGGCCGCGGGGCCUGCCAGGGACUCCUGCAGGCGCCUGAGCCCAGCCGCCAGCCUGCAAGUCCCAGGGCUGCGGGGCUGCUCAGAGGCCCAGGUGCCCUUGGGCACACCUCAGCAGGGCGCUGAGGUCCUCGCCUCAGAUGAGGAAACCAAACAGCCGGGCAGUCUUUGGCUGCAGCCCACGGCGGAGGAUUAGCAUUUGAAAAUCUGUGCUUUGUAACGCAGCCGUAGUAAAUUUUGUCAAGCGUGGUAUUUUGACUAUAUGCACAAUCGACAGCAACCAGUGUGUUCACCUUAUUGUUUUUCAGACUGGAAAAAUGUUUGCUGAACUGUCACAAAGAAAUGAUGUGCGUGGCUUUGGACUAUUUGAUCUUGACAUAGAUAGAUCUAUGAGUAUCCCCGGCAUCCUAAUCUUGGACCACAGACAGUUUAGUAAUAAAUAACUACUAGCGCAGUUAAGCAAAACAAACAAAAAGCUUCACAUAAGGUCCACACCCCACUUCUUUGCAAAAAUAUUUGACAUAAAAUCUGUGAUGAAUAUGUGGUAAAAUACGGCCUGCUCUUGAACUUCUCAGCCUCCAGAACUUCGAGCAAAAUAAACCAUUUUCUUUAUAAAUUACUCAGCCUUGGGUAUUUUAUUAUAGCAACAGAAGAGGGACUAAGGUAGGGGAACAGGAGAGAGCCAAGUCAGUGAAGAAAAGAAGCAGUUGGGUGCACUGGCGCACACCUGUCAUCCCAGCGGCUCCGGAGGCUGAGGCAGGAGGAUCACGUGUUCACAGCCAGCCUCAGCAAAAGCAAGGCGCUAAGCAACUCAGUGAGACCCUGUCUCUAAAUAAAAUACAAAAUAGGGCUGGGGAUGUGGCUCAGUGGUUGAGUGCCCCUGAGUUCCAUCUCUGGUACCUAAAAGGAAAAGAAAAGAGAAAAAAAGCAGAAAUAGUCAAGGAGUCACCCAGGGGAUGGAGGCCCCAAGUGCAGAGCAAGAAGAGAGGGUGGCAGAGUCAGGUGGCCACAGAUUCAGAGCAGCUCCAGCUGUGUCCUGUGGCCUCCCACAAGAGCCCCCUGAAGUUCUGGUACCUCCUCUGUGUCGAGAAGACUGCAGGAAUGGAGCGUGGGCGCUUCCCAUUUUUAUAGUGUCUGACUGGAGGAGUCUAUAGCAACGCCUGUUGAUCUAAUGAUGAAAAUCAAGGGCCUGCAUUUGGAUAUCUUCGGGGGUUUUCUUCCAUUUUUCUAGUGAUUCGUUCUAUUAUAUUUUACAAGAGCCUUAGCCUGCAAUGGACGAGGGGCAAAACAAAACCGAACCUUUCCAGAUGUGUCAC
rnacentral:lncRNA from 1 species